UCUUAUCUCAAAAAAAAAAAAAAAAAAAAAGAGAGAGAGAAGCAGAGAAUAAAGGAGGCCAGUGGCCAUCAAAAGGGAGUGGCAGGCCGACCAGGCCCGGAAAGCUCAUAAAGUGAGUCAGCCUAAGAGAAGGGAUCCGAGUCCAGGUCACUUGGAGCUGAUGACGGCAGCGAACCUGGCUAAGCCAGCGUGUGCAAGAUGCUGGCGCUGCUGGAAACAUCGCCUGGAGGAGCGGCCCUCUCAUCACCCGGAACAGACAGGGGUGUCUGCAGAGGUUUCCCAACCUGUCAUCAUUACUCUAGGGUCUUCUUAGAAGGACAACAAACCCUGUACCUGCAUGGCGGAGUGUUAGGAUAUCUGGUACCAUGUCACUCCCCUGAGCUCAGCCAGACUGCCUGAGGGUUGUGCCCCACUCCACCAUUUACUGCUUGUGCCUCAGUUUCCUGAUCUGUAAAAUGGAAGUUCUAAUAGUAUCCACCUCAUAGGGUUGUUAUGAGGACUGCACUACAUAUAUACAUAUAGCACUGAGAACAGUGCCUGCACAGAGUAAGCUCUACAGAACACUGGCUUUUAUUAUUGUGAUUAUUAUUGCUCGUAUUAUUACUACUCUUCUCAUCUCUAAAGAAUGGAAUGGGGCUGAACGAUUUCAAAGGCCUUUCUUUCCCUUCCUGUUCUGUUACUGGAGAUGCUCCCUUGCUGUGUGGCCUUGGGCAAGGCCCUUGUCCUCUCUGGGCCGCAAGUUCUUAUCUUCUAAGUGAGGUGCUGGGAGUCAAGCCCUGAGAGCCUGAAUCUAUGAAAUAAGGAUAAGAUGACUCCUAGAGUGGGGUUCAUUUGUGACUGCAGCCUCUCCUGGGGAUGCUGAAUUUCCUUAUUUUAAGAAUUUACUCAGAAUUUAAUCCAAUUCCUCUCCCCUUUUUGUCUAUUGUAACUGCUUAUUUCAUCUCAGCUGAGAUAAAUGGUUAAGUAAUCAACAUAACAGGGUAUAUUUGUAGUGUGUUUUUAAAGCUCCCAUUCACUGAACCAACCACCUUCCUAAGCCUGGAUUAAUUUAUUCUAUCAUCAUUACAACCCUGGGAGGGAGAUUAUUGUCCCUGUGUUAGAGAUGAGGAAAUUGAAGCACAGAGAAAAGUUAAGCAACUUGCCCAAGGACACACAAACAGUAAAUAGUAAAUCCAGAUUUAAACCAGGAACCUUGACUCCAGAUUCUGUAAGCUUUACCCUGACACUAUACCAGCGGUUGGCCUUGAGCUUAAUUUCUAAUUCUACGAUGGAAACGCUGAGGUGGGAGGCAGGUCUUUACUCCAGACCAGACUGAUGACUGGCUGAACCAGGGAAGAGGCAAAAGCACCUCUCCAUAAGACAUGCUCACCAGUACAUGCCAGUUUACCCUUGCCAGUAACUCAGAAGUUACUGCCUCUUUCCAUGGCAUUGACAGAUCCACCCCUUUUCUAGAAAUUUCUGAAUAGCCCGCCUCUUAAUUUGCAUGUAAUUAAAAUGGGUAUAAAUAUGA
rnacentral:lncRNA from 1 species